ensembl:lncRNA
CAUAGAGGCCUGCAUGAGAACAAGGAGACCAACCAAGCUUCAUCUGCUCCCUGUGAAAGUCUCUAAAGGUGAAACACUCUCAGGAAAAGAAACCGCCUGAAGCCCUGUGGACAACUCUAAGAGAGGACGGUACGACACAGCUGGCAGAGCCAUUGCUGUAAGCUUGGUACAUGGCGCUCCGCCAACAAACCUCCUCUCACCAACAGGAUUUUCUCUUCUGGUUGAUGCUUCAGCAAAACCAGAGCUACAAGACAAAGAGUCACAAGGUCAGUUGGUAGUUUAACUGUUAUCCUGCAUUAGAAUUAGGUCACAUUACAAUAUUCUCUUGGCGUUUUGAGAGGGAGAACCAAUCCAGCCCAGUCUGCUCAUUGCUGAAUGCUCACUUCCUAUAGUUUGGAUUCC